GCCCCCGUCAUGAACAAGAACGACUUUCAACCCCGUUCUUGUUAGACCGGUUUACCGUCAUUUUUUAGAGGUCUGGUUCUUCAUUCUGCUCUUGUCUCCGGUGCAGGCAACGCAGUUUCUGUUCAUGGUGGAAGUGGUUUCCUGAGUGGUGCAAGUUGAUUACUGCUACAAAUGAAUUCAAGAAGAUAAUGGAAGAGAAUUACAAUUUACCACCUGCAUGUAUUGUGAUGAUGGAGCCAUGGACUUGGAAGGAAUCAUGAAGUAUUGGACAAAAUCGGUAACAGUAUUAAGCUUUUUAUAGACUUCAAAGAAGCCAGGAUUAAUAUUGGUUUUCUACAUGCUUUAGUCCCCUCCAAAAUCCAACCCUUGGCGUCCACGUCGCGGAGGGGGGUAACGUCCUCAGACGGCUAACAGGGCUCUGGUCCACCGAAGCCAAGGUGUGAGGUAUCGUGCUGAGGGCUGCAUGGCACAAAGGAUCCCUUCAGGGCACUGGGAUCCAGCAUACCGCCUUAGUUUGCUCUCAGUAUCAGCCAGCCUGGGAAAGUUUAAAAGACAACCGGAGGCAGAAGCCCACCAGUUGUCAGAAAACUACCAGAAAAGUUCUGUGAUAUGGAGUCUCCAUUUUAAAGCUGGUCAUUCUCAGCAGGGAGUCAGUAUUUCUGGCAUACCACCACAGAGAGCUGGCAUUUGCAGCAGACCCAUGGCAGAAUGUGAUAAACAGUUUAUAGCCUUGUGGCCUUCUGGUCGACAGGCAACAUUUGGCACAGACUGCGUGUCUGGAAUGCCAGAGAGAGCCAAGAUGGUACCAGGGGCAUAUGAAAACUGGGGUACAUGACACUACCCAAGUUUAAGGAGGCUCUGACCAGGGUGCUUACAAGGCCCAGGUCGAAGGGCAAUACCCCAAGUAAAGAGGUCAAUCCUCUAGAUCGACCCAGGGGUCUACAGGGAGGCCAUGAUCAUGGCCACCAAUGAAAGCUCUUUAAUAAAGAGCUUUUCAUGAUUUUGACAUCUGUCAGUCAUUUAGCGAAAUCGGACGAU